GAACACUUUGGGAUAAUGCAGUGACGCUUGUUGAAAUAUCCCUGUAUAUCCGCAAUAUCGUGAUUCAAAUUGAUCAACAUUUGUACACGAACGUAGUACCAGUCUUUCUUCGAUUUCGCGCCAGUCGAGUUUGUUUAGCUCAGUUGGAUACUGAAGAAGAAUUUUAUAUCACCAAGUGAAACCUCGGAAUAUUUGCUGCUCUUGAUCCUCGUCUGCUGAUUUUUUGGGUUGUUUUAUAAAGAUUUAAACUUGCCAGUUGUAUCGCCGCAAAAAGUAUUCGACUAUACGCUGUUUGAUCGAUAUUCAAGCUAGAGGAUUCUUUUCUAAUAUCCAAGUCCAUUGGCAAUGUACCUGUUGGUACGAGUUGUGGUGAUUCUGAUUCUGGAUAUGCGGCCGGAUAUUGUUCUAUGUCAUCAGUUGCAUGGUCAUUUUCAACAGCACCCGAAUUUCUGACACAAACACCACAAGCGACAGAAUUGUGUCUUUUGUACAAGUACCUUCCACUGACACCGACCAACACCACAAGCGACAGAAUCCCAAAUGUAACACCAAUGGGUAUGACAACGUCUUUAUCGCUGGAUUUUGUAUCUUCUAAAACAUAACCAAAUCGGCUUAAAUGGACGGCUUAUCAACUUAAACGGACGGCUU